rnacentral:rRNA from 1 species
CCUACGGGAGGCAGCAGUGGGGAAUAUUGCACAAUGGGCGAAAGCCUGAUGCAGCGACGCCGCGUGAGGGAUGACGGCCUUCGGGUUGUAAAUCUCUUUCAGCAGGGACGAAGCGCGAGUGACGGUACCUGCAGAAGAAGCGCCGGCCAACUACGUGCCAGCAGCCGCGGUAAGACGUAGGGCGCGAGCGUUGUCCGGAUUUAUUGGGCGUAAAGAGCUCGUAGGCGGCUCGUCGCGUCAACCGUGAAAACCCGGGGCUUAACUUCGGGCUUGCGGUUGAUACGGGCGGGCUGGAGUUCGGUAGGGGAGACUGGAAUUCCUGGUGUAGCGGUGAAAUGCGCAGAUAUCAGGAGGAACACCGGUGGCGAAGGCGGGUCUCUGGGCCGAUACUGACGCUGAGGAGCGAAAGCGUGGGGAGCGAACAGGAUUAGAUACCCUGGUAGUCCACGCUGUAAACGUUGGGCGCUAGGUGUGGGGGGCCUCUCCGGUUUCCUGUGCCGUAGCUAACGCAUUAAGCGCCCCGCCUGGGGAGUACGGCCGCAAGGCUAAAACUCAAAGGAAUUGACGG